GACGAACGCUGGCGGCGUGCUUAACACAUGCAAGUCGAACGGAAAGGCCCUGCUUUUGUGGGGUGCUCGAGUGGCGAACGGGUGAGUAACACGUGAGUAACCUGCCCUUGACUUUGGGAUAACUUCAGGAAACUGGGGCUAAUACCGGAUAGGAGCUCCUGCUGCAUGGUGGGGGUUGGAAAGUUUCGGCGGUUGGGGAUGGACUCGCGGCUUAUCAGCUUGUUGGUGGGGUAGUGGCUUACCAAGGCUUUGACGGGUAGCCGGCCUGAGAGGGUGACCGGCCACAUUGGGACUGAGAUACGGCCCAGACUCCUACGGGAGGCAGCAGUGGGGAAUAUUGCACAAUGGGCGGAAGCCUGAUGCAGCAACGCCGCGUGCGGGAUGACGGCCUUCGGGUUGUAAACCGCUUUCGCCUGUGACGAAGCGUGAGUGACGGUAAUGGGUAAAGAAGCACCGGCUAACUACGUGCCAGCAGCCGCGGUGAUACCUAGGGUGCGAGCGUUGUCCCGAUUUAUUGGGCGUAAAGGGCUCGUAGGUGGUUGAUCGCGUCGGAAGUGUAAUCUUGGGGCUUAACCCUGAGCGUGCUUUCGAUACGGGUUGACUUGAGGAAGGUAGGGGAGAAUGGAAUUCCUGGUGGAGCGGUGGAAUGCGCAGAUAUCAGGAGGAACACCAGUGGCGAAGGCGGUUCUCUGGGCCUUUCCUGACGCUGAGGAGCGAAAGCGUGGGGAGCGAACAGGCUUAGAUACCCUGGUAGUCCACGCUGUAAACGGUGGGUACUAGGUGUGGGGUCCAUUCCACGGGUUCCGUGCCGUAGCUAACGCUUUAAGUACCCCGCCUGGGGAGUACGGCCGCAAGGCUAAAACUCAAAGGAAUUGACGGGGCCCCGCACAAGCGGCGGAGCAUGCGGAUUAAUUCGAUGCAACGCGUAGAACCUUACCUGGGUUUGACAUGGAUCGGGAGCGCUCAGAGAUGGGUGUGCCUCUUUUGGGGUCGGUUCACAGGUGGUGCAUGGCUGUCGUCAGCUCGUGUCGUGAGAUGUUGGGUUAAGUCCCGCAACGAGCGCAACCCUUGUUCACUGUUGCCAGCACGUUAUGGUGGGGACUCAGUGGAGACCGCCGGGGUCAACUCGGAGGAAGGUGGGGAUGACGUCAAGUCAUCAUGCCCCUUAUGUCCAGGGCUUCACGCAUGCUACAAUGGCUGGUACAGAGAGUGGCGAGCCUGUGAGGGUGAGCGAAUCUCGGAAAGCCGGUCUCAGUUCGGAUUGGGGUCUGCAACUCGACCUCAUGAAGUCGGAGUCGCUAGUAAUCGCAGAUCAGCAACGCUGCGGUGAAUACGUUCCCGGG
rnacentral:rRNA from 1 species